rnacentral:rRNA from 1 species
CAGCCAUUCCGCGUGCAGGAUGAAGGCCUUCGGGUUGUAAACUGCUUUUGUACGGAACGAAAAGGCUCUCUCUAAUACAGAGAGCUCAUGACGGUACCGUAAGAAUAAGCACCGGCUAACUACGUGCCAGCAGCCGCGGUAAUACGUAGGGUGCGAGCGUUAAUCGGAAUUACUGGGCGUAAAGCGUGCGCAGGCGGUGAUGUAAGACAGUUGUGAAAUCCCCGGGCUCAACCUGGGAACUGCAUCUGUGACUGCAUCGCUAGAGUGCGGCAGAGGGGGAUGGAAUUCCGCGUGUAGCAGUGAAAUGCGUAGAUAUGCGGAGGAACACCGAUGGCGAAGGCAAUCCCCUGGGCCUGCACUGACGCUCAUGCACGAAAGCGUGGGGAGCAAACAGGAUUAGAUACCCUGGUAA